rnacentral:ncRNA from 1 species
GUACCACAGGAUCACUGCUGUGCAGCAGCGUCAUAGCGACGUGCUUUUUGAUCUUCGAUGUCGGCUCUCUAUCAUGCGAAGCAGAAUUCGCCAAGCGUUGGAUUGUUCACCCACCAAUAGGGAACGUGAGCUGGGUUUAGACCGUCGUGAGACAGGUUAGUUUUACCCUACUGAUGACAAGUCGUUGCGAUAGUAAUCCUGCUCAGUACGAGAGGAACCGCGGGAUCAGACAUUUGGUUCAUGCGCUCGGCUGAAAGGCCGGUGGCGCGAAGCUAGCAUCUGCAAGAUUAUGACUGAACGCCUCUAAGUCAGAAUCUUUUCUAGUCAUUGGCAACGAUAAGUUGCGUCCAGACUCGAUGCGAGGAAACGAUUAGGCUUUGCUGCUAUACGGCGAAGCCAUUAUCAGACCACGGUAGCAGGCAGUAUGGGAUUGUUACGAAGAAGCAAUUUUUUGAAGUCAGUUGAAUUCAAUGAAACUGCUAACAAUUCCACUGCGAAUGACUCCAUUCGAAUCAAUCGAAGCACAGCGGUCAGGAUGUCGAACAUUUUGCAGACGACAAAAAUACCGGUUCAGGUGUCGUAAUCAGUAGAGCAGUCAACACACUGCGAUCUGAUGAGACUCAUCCUUGUAAUCGAUUUGCUCGU